rnacentral:rRNA from 1 species
AUUGAACGCUGGCGGCAUGCCUUACACAUGCAAGUCGAAAGGCAGCACGGGGGUAACCCUGGUGGCGAGUGGCGAACGGGUGAGUAAUACAUCGGAACGUGUCCUGUAGUGGGGGAUAGCCCGGCGAAAGCCGGAUUAAUACCGCAUACGAUCUACGGAAGAAAGCGGGGGAUCCUUCGGGACCUCGCGCUAUAGGGGCGGCCGAUGGCAGAUUAGCUAGUUGGUGGGGUAAAGGCCUACCAAGGCGACGAUCUGUAGCUGGUCUGGGAGGA